rnacentral:rRNA from 1 species
UCGGCUUAGAGUUUGAUCAUGGCUCAGGAUGAACGCUGGCGGCGUGCCUAAUACAUGCAAGUCGAACGAAACUUCUUUAUCACCGAGUGCUUGCACUCACCGAUAAAGAGUUGAGUGGCGAACGGGUGAGUAACACGUGGGCAACCUGCCCAAAAGAGGGGGAUAACACUUGGAAACAGGUGCUAAUACCGCAUAACCAUAGUUACCGCAUGGUAACUAUGUAAAAGGUGGCUAUGCUACCGCUUUUGGAUGGGCCCGCGGCGCAUUAGCUAGUUGGUGAGGUAAAGGCUUACCAAGGCAAUGAUGCGUAGCCGAACUGAGAGGUUGAUCGGCCACAUUGGGACUGAGACACGGCCCAAACUCCUACGGGAGGCAGCAGUAGGGAAUCUUCCACAAUGGGCGAAAGCCUGAUGGAGCAACGCCGCGUGGGUGAAGAAGGUCUUCGGAUCGUGAAACCCUGUUGUUAGAGAAGAAAGUGCGUGAGAGUAACUGUUCACGUUUCGACGGUAUCUAACCAGAAAGCCACGGCUAACUACGUGCCAGCAGCCGCGGUAAUACGUAGGUGGCAAGCGUUAUCCGGAUUUAUUGGGCGUAAAGGGAACGCAGGCGGUCUUUUAAGUCUGAUGUGAAAGCCUUCGGCUUAACCGGAGUAGUGCAUUGGAAACUGGGAGACUUGAGUGCAGAAGAGGAGAGUGGAACUCCAUGUGUAGCGGUGAAAUGCGUAGAUAUAUGGAAGAACACCAGUGGCGAAAGCGGCUCUCUGGUCUGUAACUGACGCUGAGGAGCGAAAGCGUGGGGAGCAAACAGGA